AGAGUUUGAUCAUGGCUCAGGACGAACGCUGGCGGCGUGCUUAACACAUGCAAGUCGAACGGAAAGCCCCUUUCGGGGGGACUCGAGUGGCGAACGGGUGAGUAACACGUGGGUGAUCUGCCCUGCACUUUGGGAUAAGCCUGGGAAACUGGGUCUAAUACCGGAUAGGACCAUGGCAUGCAUGUGCUGUGGUGGAAAGCUUUUGCGGUGUGGGAUGGGCCCGCGGCCUAUCAGCUUGUUGGUGGGGUGAUGGCCUACCAAGGCGACGACGGGUAGCCGGCCUGAGAGGGUGUCCGGCCACACUGGGACUGAGAUACGGCCCAGACUCCUACGGGAGGCAGCAGUGGGGAAUAUUGUACAAUGGGCGCAAGCCUGAUGCAGCGACGCCGCGUGAGGGAUGACGGCCUUCGGGUUGUAAACCUCUUUCAACAGGGACGAAGCGAAAGUGACGGUACCUGUAGAAGAAGCACCGGCCAACUACGUGCCAGCAGCCGCGGUAAUACGUAGGGUGCGAGCGUUGUCCGGAAUUACUGGGCGUAAAGAGCUCGUAGGUGGUUUGUCGCGUUGUUCGUGAAAACUCACAGCUUAACUGUGGGCGUGCGGGCGAUACGGGCAGACUGGAGUACUGCAGGGGAGACUGGAAUUCCUGGUGUAGCGGUGGAAUGCGCAGAUAUCAGGAGGAACACCGGUGGCGAAGGCGGGUCUCUGGGCAGUAACUGACGCUGAGGAGCGAAAGCGUGGGGAGCGAACAGGAUUAGAUACCCCAGUAGUCC
rnacentral:rRNA from 1 species